rnacentral:rRNA from 1 species
UGCAGUCGAACGGAACAUGUCUAGCUUGCUAGAUGAUGUCGAGUGGCGGACGGGUGAGUAAUACUUAGGAACAUGCCUUUGGGUGGGGGAUAACUAUUGGAAACGAUAGCUAAUACCGCAUGACGUCUACGGACCAAAGGGGGCUUCGGCUCCCGCCCAGAGAGUGGCCUAAGCGAGAUUAGCUAGUUGGUGUGGUAAAGGCUCACCAAGGCGACGAUCUCUAGCUGUUCUGAGAGGAAGAUCAGCCACACUGGAACUGAGACACGGUCCAGACUCCUACGGGAGGCAGCAGUGGGGAAUAUUGCACAAUGGGGGAAACCCUGAUGCAGCCAUGCCGCGUGUGUGAAGAAGGCCUUCGGGUUGUAAAGCACUUUCAGUUGUGAGGAAAGGUUAACGGUUAAUACCCGUUAGCUGUGACGUUAGCAACAGAAGAAGGACCGGCUAACUCCGUGCCAGCAGCCGCGGUAAUACGGAGGGUCCGAGCGUUAAUCGGAAUUACUGGGCGUAAAGCGCACGCAGGCGGUUUGUUAAGCUAGAUGUGAAAGCCCUGGGCUCAACCUGGGAAUUGCAUUUAGAACUGGCAGGCUAGAGUUUUGGAGAGGGGAGUGGAAUUCCAGGUGUAGCGGUGA